CAAAACCAAUUUUGACGACUUAAUAGGGGAUUUAACCAAGUCUAAGCAAAUGAAAAGCAAAAUAACACAUAAAAAGGGAUAGGGGAAAAAGUAAAAGACUUAGGCCAUUGGACCCAAAUCAAUAAAUCCUGUCCUAAUCUAAUUGGGUUUUUGGCCCACUUGCAUUUGUCCUAAUCUAAAUGUGGGCCUUGACCCGUAACUUGUCUUAAACUAAUUUUUCAGGCCCGUUGGUCCAAAAUCUGCUCCACCUGUAUUAAAUUUACAAUUUUGAUUUCAAGGCCUAAAUGAAUGAAUAAUGAAAUGAGACAACGAAUAAAUAAAUACAUGAGACAACUAUGAAUAAAUAAAUAAACAAAAAGAGACUUUCUAGUCUCUUUGUUGCUUCAAAGAUGGGACUUUAACCCAUCCUUCUUCUUUCGACUUCUUGUAUUCAUUUGCCAUGCGAUCGAUUUUUAGGUCUUUCAAAAGUCUUCUAAAAGGAGUGGGCCUCAAUGGACCAUUACAUAAUGCGAAGAAAAAGAGUCCACUUGACUCCCAAAUGAGUUCAUGCAAGGAAAAAAGAAACGAAGGAAUUAAUGUGUCGAAGAAAAGAUAAGUAGAUUGGUAAAUACACAUUUGAUAAGAAUAAGUAAUGUAAUUUGAGCAACCUCACAAAUUAAGGCAUUCAAAGUUAGUAAAAAAAAACAUGAAAGGAUCCCAAGCUAAAUACCAUGGAUUUUCAUCCUAAGGACCCAGUAAAGUUAUCAAUUCAUAAUUGUCAAGGCAGAUUCCACAAGGAGUAUUCUGAUCCUGAAUCAAAGUCGUGCCAAUUGCAGUUUUAUUAAGUAGAAAUUCAAAAUAAUGGGAUAUGAAUCAAGUAUAGUCUCGAUUAGGCCUUCAAAAUUAACAAGCAUAGCAUACUCAAAAUAGAUGGUUGAAAGCAGUUAGUCGAUCUUAGCAUAUGAACACACAUUUUGGCCAAAGCAAACUAAAUGCAGACCCGAACAAAGACAAUACAUAGAAACGCAAAGGAACACUCAUGCUUAUGGACAGAUCAAACCUAUUGCAGCAACGCAAAAUAACAGCAUAAUGAACUUCUACUCAUACUUUACAUACUUGAAAUGAACAUACUUGAAAAGAGGCAAACAUUAUCAGGGGGACGCAUGUCAUUGAUUCUAAACAAUUUUAAUUCACUUUAUGGUCCGAAAUUAUACUAAUACCUAGCCUAAAUCAAUCUCAAUCACCCAUUUACCAAAAGGGAUAUUUUGAAGGAGCAAAGAGGUUAGACAGAUUCGACAAAAUCAGUAUCAAAGACUAAAUAUCGCAAAAACACCUUUACGAGCAAGCAAAUCCUCAUUUGUUUCAAGAAAUUCCAGAAUUUUUUUUUUCUUUAAAAUAAAAUCUCAUUACAACCAGCUAACAGUGAAUUUAUCAAACAAGAAAACAGCAGAUCAGAUAAUGAUGAACUAAAAAAAACAUCUAACUAUAGAUUAGAAGGCAAGACAUUAUCUGGAAACAAUAAAUCAAUACUCAACACUUCAACCAAACUUCGAUAUGCCAGAAUCAUAAUCAUCAUUUUUAGCGACCCCCAACAAACAACCUCACAAUUACGAUAUUAUAAAAAAGGAGAUGAAAAAGAGAAAACCAUAACAAAAAUUAAAACGGAAAAGGAGUUUACCUCUUUCGGAGCAACAAAAUAGAACAACGAGCUUUUGACGGAGUUUCCUCGCCACCACCGAAAAAGCUUCACAGCGACUCCGUCCGUUCGCACCGACUCCGAAAACGUCAAAAUAGUCGACUGCUUUCUGGAACAAAUUUUCUACUAAAAAAAUACUCCUUGCUUGAAAGUAGAUUUUUUCCACCUUCAAGACUUGGGAUUUUCAGCUCAAUGAUGAGAUUUAUCUAGAAUGAAUUGUAGGGAUCCCGUUACCCCUUCGUUGAUGUGGGAUAAAAGGUCAUGGAAGGUAGUUUGGGAAUUUUCAAAAGAUGAUAAGGGGGGUCAGCUGUGUUUGUAUGAAAUUCACACUUUGGUACAAAAUUUGAAUUUUGAAUUCCAAUUUUCGAUUGGGAUGAGGCUGAGUUGUUGAUUUCGCACGUAUUGGUACGAAUUUGAGAAAAUCGUCGAUGUGAACUGGGGAUUGUUUGGGUCGGCCAGCUGUUGCUGCGCUGGAAUUGGGUUUUAUCGAGUGUGUUGAGGGGAGAGGCCAGUUUGCCGGGCGGUUGUCGCCGUCGGGUUCGGAUCGGGUCUAUUUGGUUGUCGUUGGGUGAAGCUGAUUGUUUGUCGUUGAUUUAGGAGCUGCUCUUGUUUUAUGUUGUUGUGGUUCGCUCUUUGAAGAAGAAAGGAGUGGGCCCGGGUCAGUUUGAGAGGUUUGGGCCCGGUAAGGGUGUUUUGGAGAGUGGGCUACUGAUGUUAAGGUUGGGCUGAUAUUGUUGGUGAUGAAAUUAUUUUGGGACGGGUCAGGCGAAUUUGGGCCUGGGCUGGUAGAUUGUGUGUUAAUUGGGGGUUAUUUAAAAUAACCCCAAAUUAAAUUAUGGUAUGAAUAGAUUAGACAAUUGCAUUUAUUAAAUAGGCCAAAAGGAAAGUUUAGACAAUUGCAUUUAAAAUU
rnacentral:lncRNA from 1 species